UACGUAGGGUGUAAGCGUUGUCCGGAAUUAUUGGGCGUAAAGAGCGUGUAGGCGGUUUGAUAAGUCUGCUGUGAAAGUCCAGGGCUCAACCCUGGAAAGCCGGUGGAUACUGUCAAGCUAGAGUCCGGAAGGGGCGAGUGGAAUUCCUGGUGUAGCGGUGAAAUGCGCAGAUAUCAGGAGGAACACCAAUGGCGAAGGCAGCUCGCUGGGACGGUACUGACGCUGAGACGCGAAAGCGUGGGGAGCGAACAGG
rnacentral:rRNA from 1 species